GUUCCUGUAGCAAGCGCAAUGGAUAGCGCGCGCGUUGGACUUCUGAUACAAAGGUCGUGGGUUCGAAUUCCACUUGGGAUG